rnacentral:rRNA from 1 species
UACGUAGGUCCCGAGCGUUGUCCGGAUUUAUUGGGCGUAAAGCGAGCGCAGGUGGUUUAUUAAGUCUGGUGUAAAAGGCAGUGGCUCAACCAUUGUAUGCAUUGGAAACUAGUAGACUUGAGUGCAGGGGAGGAGAGUGGAAUUCCAUGUGUAGCGGUGAAAUGCGUAGAUAUAUGGAGGAACACCGGUGGCGAAAGCGGCUCUCUGGCCUGUAACUGACACUGAGGCUCGAAAGCGUGGGGAGCAAACAGG